CCCAGGAGGUUCCACCUGACAUAAGCCAUUACUGAAGACUGACAGGAAAGUGUGCUGGUAGCCAAGACAUGCUUUAAGACAAGAAGAAGAUACUUAAAUGAUUUAUUUGUGAUGUACUAUCUGGAGAAGGUCAUGGAGGAGAGAGAAAGAAUGGAAAGGAACAAGAUACAGAAAGGCUGUUGUGUAGAAGACUCCAAAUUUUGAUGAGAAUACAUGCUAAGGAUGUGCUGUUGAAAAACUAACAUGUUGGUCCUCAGAAUGAAGAGAGAAAGAUGACUAUGAAGCCCGUG